rnacentral:rRNA from 1 species
GAUGAACGCUAGCGGCAGGCUUAAUACAUGCAAGUCGAACGGUAAGGUUUCUUCGGAGACACACGAGUGGCGCACGGGUGCGUAACGCGUAUGCAACCUACCUAUAACUGGGGAAUAGCCCCGAGAAAUCGGGAUUAAUACUCCAUAACAUCCUUUGGAUGCAUAUCUGAGGGAUUAAAGCUCCGGCGGUUAUAGAUGGGCAUGCGUGGCAUUAGCUAGUUGGUGAGGUAACGGCUCACCAAGGCGACGAUGCCUAGGGGUCCUGAGAGGGUUAACCCCCAAACUGGUACUGAGACACGGACCAGACUCCUACGGGAGGCAGCAGUAAAGAAUAUUGGGCAAUGGACGCAAGUCUGACUCAGCCAUGCCGCGUGAAGGAUGACUGCCCUAUGGGGUGUAAACUUCUUUGGUACGGGAAAAAACUCUCGGUCGUGCACCGGGACUGAUGGUACCGUGCGAAUAAGCAUCGGCUAACUCCGUGCCAGCCGCCGCGGUAACAC